AUUGAACGUGGNGNCAUGCCUUACACAUGCAAGUCGAACGGCAGCGCGGGGCAACCUGGCGGCGAGUGGCGAACGGGUGAGUAAUAUAUCGGAACGUACCCUGGAGUGGGGGAUAACGUAGCGAAAGUUACGNUAAUACCGCAUACGAUNUAAGGAUGAAAGCAGGGGACCGCAAGGCCUUGUGCUCCAGGAGCGGCCGAUAUCUGAUUAGCUAGUUGGUAGGGUAAAAGCCUACCAAGGCAUCGAUCAGUAGCUGGUCUGAGAGGACGACCAGCCACACUGGAACUGAGACACGGUCCAGACUCCUACGGGAGGCAGCAGUGGGGAAUUUUGGACAAUGGGCGCAAGCCUGAUCCAGCAAUGCCGCGUGAGUGAAGAAGGCCUUCGGGUUGUAAAGCUCUUUUGUCAGGGAAGAAACGGGUUUUUCUAAUACAGAGACCUAAUGACGGUACCUGAAGAAUAAGCACCGGCUAACUACGUGCCAGCAGCCGCGGUAAUACGUAGGGUGCAAGCGUUAAUCGGAAUUACUGGGCGUAAAGCGUGCGCAGGCGGUUUUGUAAGUCUGUCGUGAAAUCCCCGGGCUCAACCUGGGAAUGGCGAUGGAGACUGCAAGGCUAGAGUUUGGCAGAGGGGGGUAGAAUUCCACGUGUAGCAGUGAAAUGCGUAGAUAUGUGGAGGAACACCGAUGGCGAAGGCAGCCCCCUGGGUCAAGACUGACGCUCAUGCACGAAAGCGUGGGGAGCAAACAGGAUUAGAUACCCUGGUAGUCCACGCCCUAAACGAUGUCUACUAGUUGUCGGGUCUUAAUUGACUUGGUAACGCAGCUAACGCGUGAAGUAGACCGCCUGGGGAGUACGGUCGCAAGAUUAAAACUCAAAUGAAUUGACGG
rnacentral:rRNA from 1 species